rnacentral:lncRNA from 1 species
AUGGGUGCUCAGCUGCGUAGGCGCGAUGGCCUUCUUUUCUUUCUGCAGGUGGCCUUGCGGUUUUCUCCAGUCCACAGCCGGGCUGGCGUCGGCCCAGAGAGGGGGGCUCGGCAGUCUGGUUCCCCGAGCGUCUCAUGGCGGGCCCUCGCCAGAUUCAAGGGGUUCCCUUGGCCAGUUUCCUUACGGCGCGGCGGAGCUGGCCCUCGUCGUCCCUGGUAGGGGGCAGCCUCACAGCCUGGACCGGCCUGUGCAAUUUCCCCCAUCCCUCCACGUCUACAUUUUAUUUUUUUCUUUUUCUUUUUUUAGGACAAUGCAUGAUGGAAAUGCAGCCACAUCAUAGCAGGCAGGUUCAUGAAAUCUGCCCUCCUCCCACCGUUUCUUGACCCCAUUUUCUUAUUUUUUUUUUUAACAGGUUCUCACCCAGGCUGGAGUGCAGUGAUGUGGUCUCAGCUCACUGCAACCUCUGCCUCCCGGGUUCAAGCGAUUCUGUUGCCUCAGCUUCCUGAGUAGCUGGGAUUACAGGUGUGCGCCACCACGCCUGGCUAAUUUUUGUACCUUUAGUAGUGACGAGGUUUCGCCCUGUUGGUCAGGCUGGUCUCGAACUCCUGACCUAAGGUGAUCCGCCUGCCUCGGCCUCCCAAAGUGCUGGGUCUAUAGGCAUAAGCCACCACACCCGGCCCUUGACCCCAUUUUCUGUCUUCCUAGAAAUCACCAAGGUUGCAACUCCUGACUGUCCUGGCUCACAGGCUCCAGCUUACUUAAGGACCCCACGGUGGGGGCUGCCCACUUGCACACCUAUGCUAGGCGCCCUCAUUCCCGCAAGGGCCAGAGCCCCUUCCCGGCCCAUGGCGUCUGGCCAAGGAGGUGUGGGUGCGCCCCAGCCAGGCCUGGUCCUAGAGGACGGCCCCACCUGCGCACUGGGGCAUCUGGGAGAGCUAUUAGUGGAAGAAGCCCAGGUUCCUGAAGCACCAAGUGGGCAAGAGUUUAUUUUCAGGAUGGGACGCUUUUGAGGGUGAAUAAGUGCUAGCUGUAUGGGAUGCGGGGACAGUACACAGGCCCGGCCUGGCAGCCGGGCAAUGCGGUGCCUGUUGGAAGGUCGCCCACAAGCACCUGGUUGGACACUGCCACUGAGAUUUGGUUAUUACAGAGGUUAGCCUAUGCGGGCCUUCACUGAUGGACCUUGAAGUGUUUCCCAGUUGCUUUGGGUUAGGAAUAAUGUGACUGGAUCCCGUGGAUUGUCUUUGUGCAUGCAUGUGGGUAUAUCUGUCAGAAAUAUUCUUAGAGGUGGAAUUGGCUAUGGUGGGAUAUGUCCUUUAAAAUAAUAUAUUAGCCAAACGUGGCUAAAUUGCCCCCCUUAGACACUGUACUAAUUUACACUCUGGCAAAUAAUGUGUAAGACUGUGGGUUUCCACACAUCUUCACCAGUGGGGUCUUUCCAAACUUUUGGAUCUUUCCCAAUCCAAUAAUGACAAAACUAUAUCUCAUGGUUUUAAUUUACACUUCCUAGUAUUUUGAGAUCCUGUCGUGAAGUGGUGAUGGCCCUGUUUCUGCCUGCUGCACUUGGCAACAUGUGUUAUCACUUCCUUUCUUUUCACCACUUUUUACUCUUAGAGUUUCUAGAAUUUGUGAAAGUAAAAUCUUUUUGCUGGCAUGGGCUUUUGUGUGUAUUAUACACUGCUUGGAAAGGUCUUGCACCACAUCUUCCCUUCGUAGAUUGUUUCUCAAUGUUUAAUACUCAGCUCAAAUGUCACCUCCUCAGACCAUUUUAUCUAGAAUGGCCUCCUCUAGUUAUUCUCUGUCACCUUUUAUGUUAUUUCCUUCAUAGCACUCAUCACACUGUAACCACCCAACAGCUUCUUCUUGCCUGUCGCCCAGAUAGAGCCAAUUUUUCAAGAUGGGAAUUGCAAUAAAGAGUUCGAUACACAUAGAGCUGGCUAACCAGGAGAGCAGAGGCUUAUUACUCCUCAAAUCAGCCUCUCCUCAAAUUCGGAGUCUAAGGAAUUUUUUGGGGGGGGUUUGUUUUUGAGACAGUGUCUUGCUUUGUUGUCCAGGCUGGAGUGCAGUGGUGCAGUCUAGGCUUACUGCAACCUCCACCUCCUGUUCAAGCGAUUCUCAUGCCUCAGCCUUACAAGUAGCUGGGAUUACAAGCGCACACCACCAUGCCCAGCUAAUUAUUUGUAUUUUUAGUAGAGACGGGGUUUCACCGUGUUGGCCAGGCUGGUCUCGAACUCCUGCUCUCAAGUGAUUUGCCCUCCUUGGCCUCCCAAAGUGCUGGGAUUGUGCCAGUCUGGAGGCUAGGGUUUUUAAAAGAUAGUUUAGCAGUCAGGGGGCUAGGGAAUGGUGAGUGCUGAUUGGUUGGGUUAGGGAUGAAAUCCUGAAGAGAUGAAGCUUUCGUCUUGCUCUGGGUUAGUUCCUGGGUUGGGGUCACAAGACGAGAUAGCCAGUUUACCAGUCUGGGUGGCUAGUCCAUCACAAUGUGGGGUCUGAAAAAUACCUUGAACACCAAUCUUAUGUUAUAUAAUAGUAAUAUUAUCUAUUGGAGCAAUUAUGGAGGUUAGGAAUCUUGUGGCUUCGGGCUGCAUGACUCCUAAGCCAUAAUUUUUUUUUUUUUUUUUUUUUGAGAUGAAGUCUUGCUCUUGUCCCCCAGGCUGGAGUGCAAUGGUGUGAUCUCGGCUCGCUGCAACCUCUGCCUCCCGGGUUCAAGCAAUUAUCCUGCCUCAGCCUCCUGAGUAGCUGGGAUUACAGGCACCUGCCACCACGCCCGGCUAAUUUUUAUAUUUUUAGUAGAGACAGGGUUUCACCAUGUUGGCCAGGCUGGUCUUGAACUACUGACCUCAGGUGAUCUGCCCACCCUGGCCUCCCAAAGUGCUGGGAUUACAGGUGUGAGCCAUCGCGCCCGGCCCAUAAAUUUUAAUCUUGUGGCUAAUUUGUUAGUUUCACAAAGGUGGUCUGGUCCCCAAGCAAGAAGGAGGUUUGUUUCAGGGGGGGGCUGUUAUAUUUGGUUUAAAGUGAAAUUAUAAACUAAGUUUCUCCACAGAUUUGUUUGGCCUAUGCCCAGGAAUGUGCAAAGGCAGAUUGGAGGUUAGAAGAUGGAGUCGGUUAGGCCAGCUUUCUUUCACUGUUGUAAUUUUCCUAUGUCAUAUUUUUCUUAUUGUCAUAAUUUUUGCAAAGACACAACACCCGUCAUUACUUGUUUGCUGACUUGUUUAUUGGUAAAUUCUUUGUUCCACUACUGAAAUGAAGCUCCAUGAGAACAAAUAAGUUGGUCUGUCCUGCUCACUGCUGCAUGUCUGGCACUCUGUCUAGAACAUGCAAAUCACAUUACCCUGGGAUGUUAAACCCAGGGCAGGCUGCUCUCUGGCAUUCCUCGUCUGUGGUGCAAGUGGGGCAUGCCCAGUUGAGACUCCAUUUGCCCUGAGCAGAUUUCCUGAGCCUCAGGCAACCAGCUUGCAAUGAAUGCUCCUCUUGUCCCUUGCUGCCUGUCUGUAAGUAAUAAAUUUGCUUCAUAUAACUUAUUGAGUAUGAAUGCGUUCUCUCUCACUGGACACAGACAUGUUGGUAACCAAUGCACAGUGAACCUCCUUCACAGCAACCCUUAAUUAACUGGGGAUAUAUACCUCAGCCUUCUGUCCCCAGAGGACCAAUUCUGAGUCCUCAGUAGAAGUGAGCCUCAGUGACCCUUAGUGGUGAUCAGCUCAGUAAUGCCCCCUUGGGUUGGUCCUCCGAUCUUUCUCGGUUCUCUCUCUCUCUCUCUCUCCUGCUUCUGGGAAUCACCUCCCAGGUCAACUACCUGCAUCUAAGCUCUUGACUCAAACUGCCUUUGGGUAAACUCAAAUGAAGUCAACAUAUAAAAUAUUUCUUGAAGAAAUGGAUGGAUUGAUGAGGGUGCUUCUAAUGUUUUCACUUGUCAGCCAGAAGCAGCUCAGCCCUGCAGGCAGAAGGUGAAGGAAGCCAAUUGGCACCCGCCCUAGGAAUGCAGGAGCAGAUAACUGAGACAUGGGCUCCAGCAGAACAUGUAUGCAAGUGUUCUGACAGCAGGGGGGAGUGCCUGGCCCUGCUUUUUGGGGGUGAGAAUGUUUUAGAAGAGGUUGGUGAGUUACCAAGCUGCCUCAAUUUACCUAACUUGAGUAAUAGUGGAGGAAGCCCUCUAUUGUGUGUGGCUUGCUCACAUGUGUCCACCUACUCACAAAAGUCCAGGAGGACAGCUGCAAAGCUGUCUGCUCAGUGAAGGAACAGAACAUGGACUGUGCAGUGUCUCUGUAGCAGAGGCUGCCAGGCCUCCUGCCUGUGUCUGUCCCACUGUGUGCUCCCGUGACUCUCCACAGCAGGGCCUUCUUUUGGCAGAGGAAGUGCCAGGAGGUAAUGCUUCUGAGAGCAGUUUCAGCCCAUGUCAGGUGCAAAGACCCUGGCUCCCUUUCCACUCAGGACAACUCUCCGGCAUGUCUACUUGGCAUUGAACACAGUGGUCCAGAGCGGUAACCCACACUGGCUUUCCUCCCUUCCCUGUCUCACUGCCCCACUCCUCUACUGGUUUUUCCUGGUGUCACCUCCUAAAUAAACUACUUGCACUCAAAUCAUUCUUUAGAAUUUGUUUUGGAAGAAUUCAACCUAAGAUACCAUCACUCAUAGGUCAUUUGUUAAUAAUAUCAAACAAAACAUCUUAGCCACUGCUCUGAUUUCUUCCUUUGGUUCCCUGAAAUCUAUAACCACAAAUCACUGCUUUCUCUACCAAAUAUUUUUCCUGUAACUCACCAAAAAAGUCAGAUCUUCCCUGCUCAUGGCUAGCCUUCCAUUUUCCAAAAUCUACUACAAACAAGAAAAAAUGUGAGGGAAACCCUACUCUUCCCCAAGAGAACUUGGCAUUUAUGAUUCCUGCCUGCCACAUGGGCCAUUGUGUGGUCUCUUUUAGCUUCCCGAUGGAUGAUCCAACAGAUGUCAUCUUGCACUGUAGUGAUAGUCUUGUUGGGACCACAUGAAGUGCAGCUGUAAAACAGGUAAUACUGUUCUUGGCAAUUGGUCGACUGUCCUGGUAGGGGGAGACUGGUGUGAACAGAUUGUCCCAUUUAGAGUAGCUGUUAAUGGACUGUCUUCUCUCCAUGAGGGCCUUUAGCAUUUUACAUUGUAUAGGUUGUCGUCUACCAGAUUAAGAAAAUGUUCUUCUAUUUCUAGUUUAAGAGUUUUAAAAAAUCAUUAAUGAAUGUUCAGUUUUAUUUUGUGCAUUUCCUUCAUCUAUACAUGAUAUUAUUAUUUUUCUCCACUAAUUUUCUUUUUUGUUUGAGAUGGAGUUUCGCUCUGUCACCCAGGCUGGAGUGCAGUGGCAUGAUCUUGGCUCACUGCAACCUCCACCUCCCUGGUUCAAGCAAUUCCCCUGCCUCAGCCUCCCAAGUAGCUGGGAUUACAGGCACACGCUGGCAUGCCCAGCUAAUUCUUUUGUAUUUUUAGUAGAGACGGGGUUUCACCAUGUUGGCCAGACUG